rnacentral:lncRNA from 1 species
CCCUGAUAAGACAAUGUAAAACAAUUCAAACGAGAAAACUAACGGCCUUAUUUAUGUAAAAAAAUGAACGAAAAACAAAUAUGUAACACAUAAACAAACGACAACCACUGAAUUACAGGCUCCUGACUUGGGACAGGCACAUACAUAAAUAAUGAGGCGGGGUUAAACAUGUUAGCGGAAUCCCAACCCUCCCCCUAACCUGGGACAGUGGUAUAACAGUGCAACAUAAG